rnacentral:rRNA from 1 species
GACGAACGCUGGCGGCGUGCUUAACACAUGCAAGUCGAACGAACAGGCCCUGCUUUUGUGGGGUGCUCGAGUGGCGAACGGGUGAGUAACACGUGAGUAACAUGCCCUUGACUUUGGGAUAACUUCAGGAAACUGGGGCUAAUACCGGAUAGGAGCUCCUGCUGCAUGGGGGGGGUUGGAGAGUUUCGGCGGUGGGGGAUGGACUAGCGGCUUAUCAGCUUGUUGGGGGGGUAGUGGCGUACCAAGGCUUUGACGGGUAGCCGGCCUGGGAGGGUGACCGGCCACAUUGGGACUACGGUACGGCCCAGAAUGCAACGUGAGGCAGCAGUGGGAAAUAUUGCGCAAUGAGCGGAAGUCUGAUGCAGCAGCGCCGCGUGCGGGAUGACGGCCUUCGGGUUGUAAACAGCUUUCGAAUGUGACGAAGCGUGAGUGACGGUACUGGGUAAGGAAGCACCGGCUAACUACGUG